GACGAACGCUGGCGGCGUGCUUAACACAUGCAAGUCGAACGGAAAGGCCCUGCUUGCCGGGUACUCGAGUGGCGAACGGGUGAGUAACACGUGGGUGAUCUGCCCUGCACUUCGGGAUAAGCCUGGGAAACUGGGUCUAAUACCGGAUAGGAGCCAUUUUUAGUGUGAUGGUUGGAAAGUUUUUUCGGUGUAGGAUGAGCUCGCGGCCUAUCAGCUUGUUGGUGGGGUAAUGGCCUAACAAGGCGGCGACGGGUAGCCGGCCUGAGAGGGUGGACGGCCACAUUGGGACUGAGAUACGGCCCAGACUCCUACGGGAGGCAGCAGUGGGGAAUAUUGCACAAGGGGCGCAAGCCUGAUGCAGCGACGCCGCGUGGGGGAUGACGGCCUUCGGGUUGUAAACUCCUUUCGCUAGGGACGAAGCUUUUUGUGACGGUACCUAGAGAAGAAGCACCGGCUAACUACGUG
rnacentral:rRNA from 1 species